rnacentral:rRNA from 1 species
GACGAACGCUGGCGGCGUGCCUAACACAUGCAAGUCGAACGGAGCUAUUGACUUCGGUUGAUAGCUUAGUGGCGAACGGGUGAGUAACGCGUGAGCAACCUGUCUUUCAGAGGGGGAUAACAACGAGAAAUCGUUGCUAAUACCGCAUAAGACCACACUGUCGCAUGGCAGAGGGGUAAAAGGAGCAAUCCGCUGAUUGAGGGGCUCGCGUCCCAUUAGAUAGUAGGUGAGGUAACGGCUCACCUAGUCUGCGAUGGGUAGCCGAGCUGAGAGGCUGAACGGCCACACUGGAACUGAGACACGGUCCAGACUCCUACGGGAGGCAGCAGGUGGGGAAUAUUGGGCAAUGGGCGAAAGCCUGACCCAGCAACGCCGCGUGAGGGAAGAAGGUCUUCGGAUUGUAAACCUCUGUUCUUGGUGACGAAAAAGAUGACGGUAGCCAAGGAGAAAGCCCCGGCUAACUACGUG